CAUAUAGGCACAAUAUAAAAGUGGUCCCUUAUGGACAUCACUGCAUUUGAACAAUAUUGCUUAGUUUGCUCAUCUUUUUUGAAAAUCAUAAUAGUUUUGGAAACUUACAGAUUAUACUGUACAGAUUAUACAGAUUAUAUUAACUUACAGAUUGUACAUGCUUUUUUAGUAUUUUUUUUCAUUAAUCCAUUGUUUUUGUUCAAAUUCUUUCUCGUUUCCGGAAAUUGAAAAUUAUGGAAUUGGUUUUUUAAAUAAUUUUCUUUAUUACAGAAAAGCUCACAACAUGAUGACUCUAAUCAUGGCGGCUCAGAUUGUGGUUCUGAAAAGAAAGCGAAAAAACAUAAAAGCAAGCCGUGUAACUAAAGAAAAUUUAGCAACACCAUGUACUGUUCCUUAUUUUAAACUUAAUAUAAAUGUACUAUCAAUAAUUCAACAAAUAACUAGAUUUGGAUAGGCAUGUGCAAAAUAACAAUCAAUUUCACAUUAAUAUUAAAGAAAAGUUUCGACUCCUUAUAAAGUGGGCUUUUGGUGAAGUUUUUAGUAAUUAUCAAUUCACUAGCUAGACUGCUACUCCACCCUUUUAAUGUAUAGAUACAUGUAAGGUAUGUGUAAGUUUUAUGCACUAUGAAAAGUCCUAAAUUACCGUUGGAUGUAUGUAAUUAAAAUAUUUUCCUGGCAAAUUUAAUCACAAAAUUUCAUCUCUGCUCGCAAAAUAAUGUGUAUGUAUUUAUGCCAUACUUUAUGGUCCACAUUAAACAUAUUUGUUUGAAAUUAAAACGAUAAUCUGUAUUUUCACAUGCUUUUUAUAAAACGUAAUAAAUUACUGUCAUAAAUAUUUUAUACCUAAUUAAAUCGAAGGCUUAAAGUAUAUUUUCUUUCCACUUCGCUUUAAGUAGGUAUUACUCGUUGAAAUUGCAAUAAAUUUUAUUAUUAUUCUUUAAUGAGUUUGUGUGUAUUUUAUAUGCUUUGAAAUAAAGAAUUAAAUUUAAAUUGAA